GUGGUAAUGCCGGAUGUUCCACAUGAUCGCAUGUGAUUGUGGGAAAGAUUCUAUCGGCGUGGGAUGGGGUCGCGUCCUAUCAGCUUGUUGGUGAGGUAACGGCUCACCAAGGCUUCGACGGGUAGCCGGCCUGAGAGGGCGACCGGCCACAUUGGGACUGAGAUACGGCCCAGACUCCUACGGGAGGCAGCAGUGGGGAAUAUUGCACAAUGGGCGCAAGCCUGAUGCAGCGACGCCGCGUGAGGGAUGGAGGCCUUCGGGUUGUAAACCUCUUUUGUUUGGGAGCAAGCCUUCGGGUGAGUGUACCUUUCGAAUAAGCGCCGGCUAACUACGUGCCAGCAGCCGCGGUAAUACGUAGGGCGCAAGCGUUAUCCGGAUUUAUUGGGCGUAAAGGGCUCGUAGGCGGCUCGUCGCGUCCGGUGUGAAAGUCCAUCGCUUAACGGUGGAUCUGCGCCGGGUACGGGCGGGCUGGAGUGCGGUAGGGGAGACUGGAAUUCCCGGUGUAACGGUGGAAUGUGUAGAUAUCGGAAAAA
rnacentral:rRNA from 1 species